AUACAGAGGGUGCGAGCGUUAAUCGGAAUUACUGGGCGUAAAGCGCGCGUAGGCGGCUUAUUAAGUCGGAUGUGAAAUCCCCGGGCUCAACCUGGGAACUGCAUUCGAAACUGGUGAGCUAGAGUAUGGUAGAGGGUAGUGGAAUUCCUAGUGUAGCGGUGAAAUGCGUAGAUAUUAGGAGGAACAUCAGUGGCGAAGGCGACUACCUGGACCAAUACUGACGCUGAGGUGCGAAAGCGUGGGGAGCAAACAGGAUUAGAAACCCCAGUAGUCC
rnacentral:rRNA from 1 species